rnacentral:rRNA from 1 species
AUCUCCUUUAAAUUUAAAGAAUUUGGCGGUGGUUUAGUCUGGUCAGAGGAACCUGUUUUUUAAUCGAUACAACACGAAGAAUCUUACUUAUUUUUGUUUUUAGUUUGUAUACCAUCAUUAGCGGAUAAUUUUAUAAAAAAGGAAAUUAUUGAAGAUAAUUAUAUUAUAGAAAUUAGAUCAAGGUGCAGCUUAUAAAUAAGUUAAAGUGGGUUACAAUAAGAUUUAUUUAAAUGGAGUAAGGAAAGUAUAUUUUCUUAGGAAGGAGGAUUUGAUUGUAAUCUAAAUUUAAUAAGUUUAGG